CCUAAGGAUUUUCUUUAGGGGAACAUGGGGGGGAUUAUGACAGUAUCUGAACCUGGGCUGGACUCACCUAAGCAGCAUCGGCUUUUGGGGCCACCCCCGCUGAAUUAUUAACCCGUGUCUUUUGCGUACUUCUUGUUUCCUUGGUGGGCUCGCCCACCACAAGGACAAACCAUAAACCUUUUGUAAUUGCAAUCAGCGCCAGUAACAACAUAAUAAUUACAACUUUCAACAACGGAUCUCUUGGUUCCGGCAUCGAUAAAGAACGCAGCGAAAUGCGAUAAGUAGUGUGAAUUGCAGAAUUCAGUGAAUCAUCGAAUCUUUGAACGCACAUUGCGCCCUUUGGUAUUCCAAAGGGCAUGCCUGUUCGAGCGUCAUUUGUACCCUCAAGCUUUGCUUGGUGUUGGGCGUCUUGUCUCCAGUUUGCUGGAGACUCGCCUUAAAGUCAUUGGCAGCCGGCCUACUGGUUUCGGAGCGCAGCACAAGUCGCGCUCUCUUCCAGCCAAGGUCAGCAUCCAUAAAGCCUUUUUUCAACUUUUGACCUCGGAUCAGGUAGGGAUACCCGCUGAACUUAAGCAUAUCAUAGCCGGAAGGAAAUCCU
rnacentral:rRNA from 1 species